UGGAUCCAGACUUUGAUCAUGGCUCAGGACGAACGCUGGCGGCGCGCCUAACACAUGCAAGUCGAACGAGCGAGAGAGAGCUUGCUUUCUCGAGCGAGUGGCGAACGGGUGAGUAACGCGUGAGGAACCUGCCUCAAAGAGGGGGACAACAGUUGGAAACGACUGCUAAUACCGCAUAAGCCCGCGGUGCCGCAUGGCACAGAGGGAAAAGGAGCAAUCCGCUUUGAGAUGGCCUCGCGUCCGAUUAGCUAGUUGGUGAGGUAACGGCCCACCAAGGCGACGAUCGGUAGCCGGACUGAGAGGUUGAACGGCCACAUUGGGACUGAGACACGGCCCUGACUCCUACGGGAGGCAGCAGUGGGGAAUAUUGCACAAUGGGGGAAACCCUGAUGCAGCGACGCCGCGUGGAGGAAGAAGGUCUUCGGAUUGUAAACUCCUGUUGUUGAGGAAGAUAAUGACGGUACUCAACAAGGAAGUGACGGCUAACUACGUGCCAGCAGCCGCGGUAAAACGUAGGUCACAAGCGUUGUCCGGAAUUACUGGGUGUAAAGGGAGCGCAGGCGGGAAGACAAGUUGGAAGUGAAAUCCAUGGGCUCAACCCAUGAACUGCUUUCAAAACUGUUUUUCUUGAGUAGUGCAGAGGUAGGCGGAAUUCCCGGUGUAGCGGUGGAAUGCGUAGAUAUCGGGAGGAACACCAGUGGCGAAGGCGGCCUACUGGGCACCAACUGACGCUGAGGCUCGAAAGUGUGGGUAGCAAACAGGAUUAGAUACCCUGGUAGUCCACACCGUAAACGAUGAUUACUAGGUGUUGGAGGAUUGACCCCUUCAGUGCCGCAGUUAACACAAUAAGUAAUCCACCUGGGGAGUACGACCGCAAGGUUGCAACUCAAAUGAAUUGACGGA
rnacentral:rRNA from 1 species